AACAGCUCUGUGUCUGGAAUGAGUCCUCCUAGAAUUCAGUACUGUAAAACUGAAGACAUGUAAAUCUGCUCAUGUAAAUCCUCCACUGCAUAGACUUUUGUGUGGAACAUUUAUCAGGGCUGAUGGCAAAAACUACUGAUAUGAUAUGGAAAUACCAGCUCAGAAGAUGUGGUGAGCUUUGAUAAUUCAGGAGUUGACUGACAGAAGGAGGACCUCAUUUGGGCAGAAUGGCUCCCAAAACCCAGCUGUGUCUCUGGGUGCGUAUGCCCAGCAGCAGGCAGUGUGUCAUCGCUGUGUCAGUUCUAUGGUGUGAUGUGCGGAACUGGUACUGGUAUGUAGACAUCAAGGCUAGUUCUUCGGCUCUCCCAAAGGCCAAAGAUAUGUAUUUAAAUAUCAUUUAAAUAAACCCCCUUAUUGCUUAAAUCACC
rnacentral:lncRNA from 1 species